UACGGAGGGAGCUAGCGUUGUUCGGAAUUACUGGGCGUAAAGCGCACGUAGGCGGCUUUUCAAGUCAGGGGUGAAAUCCCGGGGCUCAACCCCGGAACUGCCCUUGAAACUGGAUGGCUAGAAUCUUGGAGAGGCGAGUGGGAUUCCGAGUGUAGAGGUGAAAUUCGUAGAUAUUCGGAAGAACACCAGUGGCGAAGGCGACUCGCUGGACAAGUAUUGACGCUGAGGUGCGAAAGCGUGGGGAGCAAACAGG
rnacentral:rRNA from 1 species